UGGUGCCUUCGGGAACUGUGAGACAGGUGCUGCAUGGCUGUCGUCAGCUCGUGUUGUGAAAUGUUGGGUUAAGUCCCGCAACGAGCGCAACCCUUAUCCUUUGUUGCCAGCGAUUAGGUCGGGAACUCAAAGGAGACUGCCAGUGAUAAACUGGAGGAAGGUGGGGAUGACGUCAAGUCAUCAUGGCCCUUACGACCAGGGCUACACACGUGCUACAAUGGCGCAUACAAAGAGAAGCGACCUCGCGAGAGCAAGCGGACCUCAUAAAGUGCGUCGUAGUCCGGAUUGGUGUCUGCAACUCGACUCCAUGAAGUCGGAAUCGCUAGUAAUCGUGGAUCAGAAUGCCACGGUGAAUACGUUCCCGGGCCUUGUACACACCGCCCGUCACACCAUGGGAGUGGGUUGCAAAAGAAGUAGGUAGCUUAACCUUCGGGAGGGCGCUUACCACUUUGUGAUUCAUGACUGGGGUGAAGUCGUAACAAGGUAACCGUAGGGGAACCUGCGGUUGGAUCACCUCCUUACCUUAAAGAAGC
rnacentral:rRNA from 1 species